GAAGGAAGCAGGAUAACCAGUGGAGUGACGGGACAUGAGAAGGACUCAACUGGCCAUUGCUGGUUUUGAAGAUGGAGGAGGGGCCACGAGCCAAGGACUGGGGUGCCUCCAGAA